CUUCCUCGCAUGGGGUUGUGGGAAAGGGUCUUACCGGUAUGGGAUGGGGUCGCGUCCUAUCAGCUUGUCGGUGGGGUAACGGCCCACCGAGGCUUCGACGGGUAGCCGGCCUGAGAGGGCGACCGGCCACAUUGGGACUGAGAUACGGCCCAGACUCCUACGGGAGGCAGCAGUGGGGAAUAUUGCACAAUGGGCGCAAGCCUGAUGCAGCGACGCCGCGUGCGGGAUGACGGCCUUCGGGUUGUAAACCGCUUUUGAUUGGGAGCAAGCGCAAGUGAGUGUACCUUUCGAAUAAGCGCCGGCUAACUACGUGCCAGCAGCCGCGGUAAUACGUAGGGCGCAAGCGUUGUCCGGAAUUAUUGGGCGUAAAGGGCUCGUAGGCGGCCCGUCGCGUCCGGUGUGAAAGCCCGUCGCUUAACGGCGGGUCUGCGCCGGGUACGGGCGGGCUGGAGUGCGGUAGGGGAGACUGGAAUUCCCGGUGUAACGGUGGAAUGUGUANAUAUCGGGAAGAACACCAAUGGCGAAGGCAGGUCUCUGGGCCGUUACUGACGCUGANGAGCGAAAGCGUGNGGAGCGAACAGGAUUAGAUACCCUGGUAGUCCACGCCGUAAACGGUGGACGCUGGAUGUGGGGCCCAUUCCACGGGUUCCGUGUCGGANCUAACG
rnacentral:rRNA from 1 species